AGUCACUGACAUUAGAUACCCCUGUAGUCCCAGCCGUAAACAAUGUGCGUUAGGUGUGUCGGUAACCACGUGUUACUGAUGCGCCGAAGAGAAAUCGUGAAACGCACCACCUGGGAAGUACGGUCGCAAGGCUGAAACUUAAAGGAAUUGGCGGGGAGCACCACAACAGGUGGAGCCAGCGGUUUAAUUGGAUUCAACGCCGGACAUCUCACCGGAUAAGACAGCUGAAUGAUUGUCAAUCUGAAGGUUUUACAUGACUAGCUG
rnacentral:rRNA from 1 species